rnacentral:rRNA from 1 species
UACGUAGGGGGCAAGCGUUGUCCGGAUUUAUUGGGCGUAAAGAGCGUGUAGGCGGCCAGGUAGGUCUGCUGUGAAAACUCGAGGCUUAACCUCGAGCUGUCGGCGGAAACCAUCUGGCUAGAGUCCGGAAGAGGAGAAUGGAAUUCCCGGUGUAGCGGUGAAAUGCGUAGAGAUGUGGAGGAACACCGAUGGCGUAGGCAGCCUCCUGGGCCAAUUCUGACGCUCAGGCACGAAAGCGUGGGGAUCAAACAGG